rnacentral:rRNA from 1 species
UGGGGGAUAUUGCGCAAUGGGGGAAACCCUGACGCAGCAACGCCGCGUGAAGGACGAAGGUUUUCGGAUUGUAAACUUCUUUUGUCAGGGACGAAGAGAUGACGGUACCUGACGAAUAAGCUCCGGCUAACUACGUGCCAGCAGCCGCGGUAAUACGUAGGGAGCGAGCGUUGUCCGGAAUUACUGGGUGUAAAGGGUGCGUAGGCGGCAGAGCAAGUCAGAUGUGAAAUACACGGGCUUAACCCGUGGGCUGCAUUUGAAACUGUUCAGCUUGAGUGGAGCAGAGGCAGGCGGAAUUCCCGGUGUAGCGGUGAAAUGCGUAGAGAUCGGGAGGAACACCAGUGGCGAAGGCGGCCUGCUGGGCUUUAACUGACGCUGAGGCACGAAAGCGUGGGUAGCAAACA